GAUGAACGCUGGCGGCGUGCUUAACACAUGCAAGUCGAACGGAAAGGCCACAGCUUGCUGUGGUACUCGAGUGGCGAACGGGUGAGUAACACGUGGAUGAUCUGCCCUGUACUUCGGGAUAAGCUUGGGAAACUGGGUCUAAUACCGGAUAGGAAUCACAUGUGGGUGUGUGGUUGGAAAGCUUUUGCGGUAUGGGAUGAGCUCGCGGCCUAUCAGCUUGUUGGUGGGGUAAUGGCCUACCAAGGCGUCGACGGGUAGCCGGCCUGAGAGGGUGUACGGCCACAUUGGGACUGAGAUACGGCCCAGACUCCUACGGGAGGCAGCAGUGGGGAAUAUUGCACAAUGGGCGCAAGCCUGAUGCAGCGACGCCGCGUGGGGGAUGACGGCCUUCGGGUUGUAAACUCCUUUCGUCAGGGACGAAGCGAAAGUGACGGUACCUGGAGAAGAAGCACCGGCUAACUACGUG
rnacentral:rRNA from 1 species